GACCUCGGGCUAAGGCGUAG
rnacentral:miRNA from 1 species